GACGAACGCUGGCGGCGUGCUUAACACAUGCAAGUCGAACGGAAAGGCCCUGCUUGCAGGGUACUCGAGUGGCGAACGGGUGAGUAACACGUGGGUGAUCUGCCCUGCACUUCGGGAUAAGCCUGGGGAACUGGGUCUAAUACCGGAUAGGAGCCAUUUUUAGUGUGAUGGUUGGAAAGUUUUUUCGGUGUAGGAUGAGCUCGCGGCCUAUCAGCUUGUUGGUGGGGUAAUGGCCUACCAAGGCGGCGACGGGUAGCCGGCCUGAGAGGGUGGACGGCCACAUUGGGACUAGGAGACGGCCCAGACUCCUACGGGAGGCAGCAGUGGGGAAUAUUGCACAAUGGGCGCAAGCCUGAUGCAGCGACGCCGCGUGGGGGAGGACGGGCUUCGGGUUGUAAACUCGUUUCGCUAGGGACGAAGCUUUUUGUGACGGUACCUAGAUAAGAAGCACCGGCUAACUACGUG
rnacentral:rRNA from 1 species